AAUCCCACUACAAUCCAUCACUUUUAAAAUCAGCUCCCCGUUCUCACAACGUUCUUUCAAUUUCAUAGCUUUUGGAGAUAACCACGCGACACUGCAAAUCCCAGAACUCAGACCAGUUCUCCUUUGUUAAUCGUGAAAUGUGGAGGUUCGUUUCUUACUCCAAUCUUCUAUCUUCCUUUCACUCACACUUUCCGUUUAGGGUUUUCUCUCACUCUCUUCAUCAAUUCAUUCCCAAUAAUUUUAAUGUCGAUGAUGCCGUUUUCUCAUUCCACCGCAUGCUAACAAUGCGUUCUACUCCUUCCAUUGUUCAAUUUAAUAAGAUUUUAGGGUUCCUUGCUAGGACUAAGAAUCAUUACGCCACUGCCAUUUCCCUUUUUCACCAAUUGGAACUCAACCAAGUUAAACCAUGUAUUAUUACUUUAAACACUCUCAUCAAUUGUUAUUGCCACACUGGUCAGAUGGGUUUUGCCUUUUCUAUAUUAGCUAAGAUUCUCAAAAUUGGCUAUCAGCCUGAUACCAUAACUUUGAAUACUCUUAUCAAAGGUUUGUGUCUUAACGGAAAGGUUCAUGAAGCUCUUCACUUUCAUGACCAUGUGGUUGCACAUGGAUUUCGGCUGGACCGAAUUAGUUAUCGUACGUUGAUCAAAGGGUUGUGUAAAAUGGGGGAAACAAGAGCCGCCAUGAAAAUGUUGAGACAAAUUGAUGGGAAGUUGGUCAAUGUGGAUGUGGAAAUGCACAGCAUAAUAAUUGAUAGUUUGUGUAAAGAUAAAUUUGUUACGGAAGCCUAUGAGUUAUAUUUUGAAAUGAUUGCAAAGAAAAUUUCUCCCAAUGUUGUCACUUUCACCGCUCUUAUAUAUGGAUUUUGCAUUGUUGGUCAAUUGAGAGAUGCAUUUGGCUUGUUCGAUGAAAUGGUAUCAAAAAACAUCAACCCAGAUGCUUAUACUUUUAAUAUAUUGGUUGAUGCUCUUUGUAAGGAAGGAAAUCUGAAAGAAGCUAAGAUACUGUUAGCCGUGAUGAAGAGAGAAGGUGUAACACCUAAUGUUGUUACAUACAAUUCAUUAAUGGAUGGGUAUUUCCUAGUUAAUAAAGUGAAAAUGGCCAUAAAUAUAUUCUAUACUCUGGCUCGAAUGGGAGUUGCUCGUGAUGUUCAUUCUUAUAAUAUAAUGAUCAAUGGAUUGUGUAAGAAUAAAAUGGUGGAUGAGGCCAUCAAUCUCUUCAAAGAAAUGAGUUGCAACAAUAUUAUUCCUGAUUUGAUAACUUACAACGCCCUUAUUGAUGGUUUGUGCAAAUCAGAGAGAAUCUCCUAUGCUUGGGAACUUGUUCUUGAGAUGCAAGAUAAUGGUCAACCAGCCAAUAUAUUCACUUACAAUUCUUUAAUAUACACUCUAUGCAAAAACCAUCAUGUUGACAAAGCUAUUGCAUUAGUCAAGAAAAUUAAAGACAAGGGCAUUCAACCAAAUAUGUGCACAUACAAUAUACUUCUCGAUGGACUAUGCAAAGGAGGACAACUUAAGAACGCACAAGAUGUUUUUAAGGAUCUUUUGAUUAAGGGUUAUAGUCUAGAUAUCCAAACAUAUAAUAUUAUGAUCAAUGGACUUUGUAAAGAGGGCUUGUUUGAUGAAGUAGAGGCCUUGGUUUCCAAAAUGAAAUACACUGGUAUCAUUCCUAAUGCUAUAACUUAUGAAACUAUUAUCCGUGCUUUCUUUUAUAAAAAUGAGAAUGAAAAGGCAGAGAAACUUCUUCGUGAAAUGAUUACUAGAGGUCUACUUGUAAAGUAACUCUAGGUUUUACAGUCUGCUUGAUCUAAAUCAUAAUUUAUUCUCUCCUGAUUUGGAUGUGAGAUCUUCAUCUUCCAAAUCAUACCCAAAAUCAUCAGGAUGAGAAUCCAGUCAAAGUCUAUUUGCUAGUACUAUAGAUUUCUCUGUACUCAAUUGGACUGCUGGGCCUGAAGCUAGCUUUAGACCACAUCAAGUGGCCAACAAUGCGGCUUUGUUAAAUAUCAGUUAUAGCGGUGCUAAAGCGUGGCAGAAUUUGAACAAUUGCUUCUGGUCUGUAAUAUUCUUUAGUACAAAGUGCUGUCAAAUAGUGACCAUGUCGCUGCUUUACAAGAUUUUACAGAUGAUGGAGUCACAUUUUCCAGUUCUGAAUUACCGAAUGAUUUGAGAGAAAAGAACUUUGCAUGGUUCGGUGAGAUCACUUCUAUCUAUUUCUACUUGACACUAUGCUUUAUUUUCUUACUUUAGUAGUCCUUACAAUUUCAUUCAUGCUUUCCACUUGCUACAAUAGUUUGAAUCAGACACAAUAAACAUAGUCCAUAGUUAGCUCAAAUGCAGAGUCGGAAUCAAGAAUGUGUAUGAAUGGAGAUACUCCGAGACUUUUGUGCUAUAAACUGUCGGACACAGUUCAUUACUCAAUUUUUUUACAGCUUCAUAGUGAGCUUCAGUUGUGAAUAAUUUGAGUACAACUAGUUCAAAAAGAUCUGAAACGAAAAAAAAUAAUUCUGAAAACAUUGCAUUACAAUACCACUAUUACACUUAGUCGAACUAACCAUGCUGAUAAUGAUGCUUUGACCUGAAACAUUGUUACACCAUACAAUCUGGUGUGACAGGAAAAUAAUAUACAGCUUCAUAGUUAUAGUUUUACGAGUACCCUACUGUAUGUAUUCUUUGAGUUUAUAUCAAUGCCUUUGUUAAUUAUCUAACUUCAAUUAGCGUGAAAUAUCAUACUAGUAAAUAUAGAAUUUCAUAUGUAAAUGAGAUAGAGAAAACAAAUACUAUAGUUUAAUCAAUUUUAUGAUUCCUUUACAAAGAAUAUCACAACACCAGUGUCAUAUGUCUUCUUUAUAAAUAUUUGGUUGUGGUUCCAAAUUCCAAGCAUAGUUCAAUUUCUAUGUGUAGUGAAUAUAAAUAUUAGUUAAAUAAG